rnacentral:rRNA from 1 species
UACGUAGGGGGCUAGCGUUGUCCGGAUUUAUUGGGCGUAAAGAGCGUGUAGGCGGCCAGGUAGGUCUGGUGUGAAAACUCGAGGCUUAACCUUGAGAUGUCAUCGGAAACCAUUUGGCUAGAGUCCGGAAGAGGAAAGUGGAAUUCCUGGUGUAGCGGUGAAAUGCGCAGAUAUCAGGAAGAACACCGGUGGCGAAGGCGGCAUCCUGGACCAACACUGACGCUGAUGAGCGAAAGCCAGGGGAGCAAACGGG